UACGGAGGAUCCAAGCGUUAUCCGGAUUUAUUGGGUUUAAAGGGUGCGUAGGCGGAUUGUUAAGUCAGUGGUGAAAGCCUGCAGCCUAACUGCAGAACUGCCAUUGAUACUGAUGAUCUUGAGUACAGUUGAGGUGGGCGGAAUGUGUCAUGUAGCGGUGAAAUGCUUAGAUAUGACACAGAACACCGAUUGCGAAGGCAGCUCGCUAAACUGUAACUGACGCUGAGGCACGAAAGCGUGGGGAUCAAACAGG
rnacentral:rRNA from 1 species